rnacentral:misc_RNA from 1 species
UUCAGUCCUGGUCCAUCAAUU